UCAGUAGCGGCGAGUGAAGCGGCAAGAGCUCAGAUUUGAAAUCUCACCUAGUGUGCGAGUUGUAAAUUGCAGGUUGGAGUCUCGGGUUAGACGUGUGUGCAAGUCCCUUGGAACAGGGUGCCACUGAGGGUGAGAGCCCCGUAUCGUGCAUGUCGACACCUGUGAGGCCCUUCUGACGAGUCGAGUUGUUUGGGAAUGCAGCUCUAAGUGGGUGGUAAAUUCCAUCUAAGGCUAAAUAUUGGCGAGAGACCGAUAGCGAACAAGUACUGUGAAGGAAAGAUGAAAAGCACUUUGAAAAGAGAGUGAAACAGCACGUGAAAUUGUUGAAAGGGAAGGGUAUUGGGCUCGACAUGGGAUUUACGCAUCGUUGCCUCUCGUGGGCGGCGCUCUGGGUUUUUCCUGGGCCAGCAUCGGUUUUCGUUGCAGGAUAAGGACAAUUGGAAUGUGGCUCCUCGGAGUGUUAUAGCCUUUUGUAGAUGCUGCGUAUGGGGACCGAGGGCUGCGGCGGACUCGUUUCGUCUCGGAUGCUGGCACAACGGCGCAAUACCGCCCGUCUUGAAACACGGAC
rnacentral:rRNA from 1 species